CCUCUACAUGCUCCGUCCUCCCCCAGAGGCAGAGGACUUUUUGUCUCUGGGUCCACCUCGAUAGCUCUGGGGCUGGAGGGCCAAAGCCAGCUCUGUGCAACCAAACAACAUAAAUAAACCCAUUUUUCCCCCAUCCGACGGAUAUGGGUGAAAUUCUGCCCACACCCAUCUGCUCUACAACAGGUCUUUAUUUCUCCUUGGUUCAUUCCCCGUUUCAUCUGCUCAGCUUGAGUCCUUUCCAGCAGUGCCCUCCAUCCUCUUCCUCCUUUGUGCAAACAGAAUCAAAAUAACUGUUUAACAAAUCAGCCAUUAUCUUCUCCCAUGUCACCAAUUCCCCGCUAUCAUGGCGUAAUUGACCAAUUUUCUCUUUUACCUUCUCUCUGCUCUGGAUACGUCUCGGGAAGCUCUGAUUGUGUGUUAAAAUAUCCUCUCUAAUUCACUGCUCAAUAUCUCUUUCUGCUCUUCUAAUUGCCCUUUUAACUCGCUUCUAAUUUUUUAUAAAUCUCCUAAUCCUCUUCCUGCGCAGGUUGUUUACAUGCACCAUAGAAUGUAUAUGUAUUAGCAGAUGUUCCCGGGUAAAUAAUGCACAAAAGGAUAUUACUGCUUCACACAGGCUGCAAUUACUGCCUUCCUUCUGAAUAAGCCCUGGUUAACCCUCCUGUUUAGGGCGCACACCCCUGCUUGCAAUGCUCAUCUCCCAGCUAUUCCAUUUCUUCUCUCCAUUUGCUUGCAGUGCUCACCAUGCCCCAUCCGACGCAGCAUUACCUGCCAGAGGCUCUGAUUUCUGUGUUUUCCAUUUGAACAACGGAGCUAAAUGGCGUGUUUAAAACCAUGGAUCCUGUUUGGACAGAAGGGUUUGAUGCAGCAGGUCCUCACUGAUGGCCAGCAGCCCUGGAUGGAGACCCACAGGAACUUGUCUCAGGGCUGCUUUCUCAAUAGUGCACGCAAAUUGCUCUCCCUGGGACAAGUUUUCAUGGCUGCUGCCUCUGUCAUCCUACAGCUGAGCUAUCCUGGAAUCAGAGCGUUUGGAUCCUCGUUGGUCUCCAGACUGGCUGGCGGGUGAACUGGCUUUUCUGAGCAUCUCUCCUGUUUUUCAUUCAUUCUUAAAAAAAAAAAAAAAAAGUCAUAGUAAUAAAAAAGGAAAAGCAGAGUGACACUUUCCACGUGUGGGC
rnacentral:lncRNA from 1 species